UACGAAGGGGGCUAGCGUUGCUCGGAAUCACUGGGCGUAAAGCGCACGUAGGCGGGUCUUUAAGUCAGGGGUGAAAUCCUGGAGCUCAACUCCAGAACUGCCUUUAAUACUGCCAGUCUCGAGUCCGGAAGAGGUAAGUGGAACUCCUAGUGUAGAGGUGAAAUUCGUAGAUAUUGGGAAGAACACCGGUGGCGAAGGCGGCGACCUGGUCCGAUACUGACGCUGAGGCGCGAAAGCGUGGGGAGCAAACAGG
rnacentral:rRNA from 1 species